rnacentral:snRNA from 1 species
ACUGUCACGUCAGAAAUUGAUGA